rnacentral:rRNA from 1 species
UACGUAGGGUGCAAGCGUUGUCCGGAAUCACUGGGCGUAAAGCGCACGUAGGCGGCUUCUUAAGUCAGGGGUGAAAUCCUGGAGCUCAACUCCAGAACUGCCUUUGAUACUGAGGAGCUUGAGUCCGGGAGAGGUGAGUGGAACUGCGAGUGUAGAGGUGAAAUUCGUAGAUAUUCGCAAGAACACCAGUGGCGAAGGCGGCUCACUGGCCCGGUACUGACGCUGAGGCGCGAAAGCGUGGGGAGCAAACAG